GUGAACGCUGGCGGUAGGCCUAACACAUGCAAGUCGAACGGCAGCACAGUAAGAGCUUGCUCUUACGGGUGGCGAGUGGCGGACGGGUGAGGAAUACAUCGGAAUCUACUUUUUCGUGGGGGAUAACGUAGGGAAACUUACGCUAAUACCGCAUACGACCUACGGGUGAAAGCAGGGGAUCUUCGGACCUUGCGCGAUUGAAUGAGCCGAUGUCGGAUUAGCUAGUUGGCGAGGUAAAGGCCCACCAAGGCGACGAUCCGUAGCUGGUCUGAGAGGAUGAUCAGCCACACUGGAACUGAGACACGGUCCAGACUCCUACGGGAGGCAGCAGUGGGGAAUAUUGGACAAUGGGCGCAAGCCUGAUCCAGCCAUACCGCGUGGGUGAAGAAGGCCUUCGGGUUGUAAAGCCCUUUUGUUGGGAAAGAAAAGCAGCAGGUUAAUACCCCGCUGUUCUGACGGUACCCAAAGAAUAAGCACCGGCUAACUUCGUG
rnacentral:rRNA from 1 species